rnacentral:rRNA from 1 species
AUUAAUACUGUCUCUUUCUUAUUUAUAUAACUUGUCUUAUAGGUGCAGAGACCUAUAUUUUAAUGAAAGACAAAAAGACCCUAUUGAGCUUUAUUUUUAUUAGGUGUUUAUAGAUAUAUUACUUUAUUACUAUAAAAAAUUUGGUUGGGGCGACAUAGAAAUAUAUAAAUCUUUCUUUAUAUUUUGGAAUUUUAAUUCUUUUUAAGGAUCUAUUAUAUAGAAAACAGACAUAGUUACCAUAGGGAUAACAGGCUAAUUCUUUUGUAGAGUUCAAAUUGAUAAAAGAGUUUGGCACCUCGAUGUUGGCUUAAGAUAUCCUAUAGGUGUAGCAGCUUAUAAGGGUUGGUUUGUUCAACCAUUAAAAUCUU